rnacentral:rRNA from 1 species
GACGGAGGGUGCAAGCGUUGUUCGGAUUUACUGGGCGUAAAGCGCGUGUAGGCGGCUCUUUAAGUCUGAUGUGAAAGCCCGGGGCUCACCCCCGGAAGUGCAUUGGAAACUGGAGAGCUCGAGUCCCGGAGAGGAGGGUGGAAUUCCUGGUGUAGCGGUGAAAUGCGUAGAUAUCAGGAGGAACACCGGUGGCGAAGGCGGCCCUCUGGACGAUGACUGACGCUAAGACGCGAAAGCGUGGGGAGCAAACAGG